UACGACGGGUGCAAGCGUUACUCGGAAUUACUGGGCGUAAAGCGUGCGUAGGUGGUUUGUUAAGUCUGUUGUGAAAGCCCCGGGCUCAACCUGGGAAUGGCAAUGGAUACUGGCAGGCUAGAGUGCGGUAGAGGGUAGUGGAAUUCCCGGUGUAGCGGUGAAAUGCGUAGAGAUCGGGAGGAACACCAGUGGCGAAGGCGGCUACCUGGACCAGCACUGACACUGAGGCACGAAAGCGUGGGGAGCAAACAGG
rnacentral:rRNA from 1 species